rnacentral:rRNA from 2 species
CGGACUUAGUGGCGCACGGGUGCGUAACGCGUGGGAAUCUGCCCCUUGCUUCGGAAUAACAGUUAGAAAUGACUGCUAAUACCGGAUGAUGUCUUCGGACCAAAGAUUUAUCGGCAAGGGAUGAGCCCGCGUAGGAUUAGGUAGUUGGUGGGGUAAAGGCCUACCAAGCCGACGAUCCUUAGCUGGUCUGAGAGGAUGAUCAGCCACACUGGGACUGAGACACGGCCCAGACUCCUACGGGAGGCAGCAGUGGGGAAUAUUGGACAAUGGGCGAAAGCCUGAUCCAGCAAUGCCGCGUGAGUGAUGAAGGCCUUAGGGUUGUAAAGCUCUUUUACCAGGGAUGAUAAUGACAGUACCUGGAGAAUAAGCUCCGGCUAACUCCGUGCCAGCAGCCGCGGUAAUACGGAGGGAGCUAGCGUUGUUCGGAAUUACUGGGCGUAAAGCGCACGUAGGCGGUACAUCAAGUCAGGGGUGAAAGCCCGGAGCUCAACUCCGGAACUGCCCUUGAAACUAGUGUGCUAGAAUCUUGGAGAGGCGGGUGGAAUUCCGAGUGUAGAGGUGAAAUUCGUAGAUAUUCGGAAGAACACCAGUGGCGAAGGCGGCCCGCUGGACAAGUAUUGACG